AUAAAAUAAAUUGGCUUUAAGUCCUCCGGGCGGACGCAAGGAAGGUUCAAUGAGUAACUUCAAAACAACUGUUGAUAACAAAUCGAUAAAUCAGUACUGCAACAUAGGGAGAUAUGGUGGUGGUGGCAACUGGCAACGAUAUCAAAGAAUGUCGCAUUCAAUACUGCUAAAUAUAGAUCUUUGCAAUCUCCAUGACAUAACAUAAGCACCGCCGCAGCAGAAAAUGACCAGAAACGUCCCCAGAUGAUUUCGGCUUCUCCAGCACUCGAUCAGACCAAGUUCCACGUUACCAGGUGCGAUUGAAGCAUAUAUCUUUCAUUCUUUUCAGUUUAACCACCCACUUAAAAAGCCGAAACCAGGUGUUAUUUGCUUAAUGGCCGAGCCGUCGCUGCCAUCAAAUCUAAAGAGAAUCGAUGCUGGAUUCUCAACUUAUUUUUUAAUCGAAAAUCAACCUCUGCGACAAUUAUGUGAUUACAAAUCUCAUUUGUUAGCUUGUCCGUUUUUCUUCGUUCCGUAUUGGGGCUUUUCAAUCUGUCCAAAUGGAAAAAAAAAAAUGUCUUGACACAUACAGAUUGUACAAUUGUUUAGGACAGUUCACCACCUUUAAAUAACUCCAUAAUUUUACAUUUUGAAUAUAAACCGUGGUUAUUUUAGACGUGUUUUAAGGUGUAGAGUGUGAAUUAUAAUCACAUACAUAAAACGAUAAAUGAUAAAAAAAAAAUUAUAACUUUAAUAAUGUGAUUACGAAAGUAUUUUUUAUUUUAAAACAAUUUUAAUAUAUUCGAACUUUUAAAUAUAUUUUUUUUUAUAAUUUUAACUUAAAAAAAAUUAGACGCUUCUUAAAUAUAUAUAUAUUUUUUUUCCAUUCGUUUCUUAUUACGUGUAUGUUUCAACUAAUUCUAAUAGCAUACAAAUUCAUAAAAACUCAUUGAAUAUAUAAGAACUAAGGGUGAAAAAACAAAGCACCAUAAUUCAAUUUUACCAAGGAGAAAACCCCAUAUAUACCCGAAACUAAUGAGAAAACAAAAUACACUCAUGACGUCUCAUUCAAAUGCCUGUCGUCUGAACUUUUUCUUUUCUCUCUCAUCUACGCCCUCUACGUUUCAGGAGUCACCACUAAACCAAUCUCCAUCACUGUCAAGUCCAUCACAAUUAUUAACACAACAUUUAUUUUUCAAUUUUCUUCUUUUUAAAACACAGUUAACAAAUUGGUUUAUAAAUCAAACUUGAUAAAUUAUAAAUUUUACAUCUCGUCUAAGGCGUUUGUUUCCUUUGAAAAUGAACAUUAUUAUCAAACUAGUUGAAGAUUUUUUUCAUAUUCAAUAACAGCUAAUUGUAUAUUCUUUUAAAAGUUAACAACAAAGUCAGCUCAUCGCUAAAUUAAAUUCCAAAUCAAAGAAGAUAUAUUUCUGGUGGCCGAUGAUCUGUACUUGCUUGGUCGUGAAUCCGAUUCAAUAUUAGAUAACCCAAUUUGUUCACUGUGUUUUACUCAAAAAA
rnacentral:lncRNA from 1 species